rnacentral:piRNA from 2 species
CUCUCUCACUGAUUACUUGAUGACA